AAAGGUUUGCAGCUUCGCUCUCGUCUGCUAUUCUGUAAGAGCCAGCCUGGGUGCCGGUACGGUCAGGAGUAGUCUGUGAACAUCGGGUUUCUGCCUUAUUUCCCUGCAGGUGACUAAGAAACUUCACGAUGCGGCUGGAAGAACUCAGAAGGCUCCAGCACACCUUGGAAGAGGUCAAUGAUGGCAAAGACUUCCUUCAAAGCCAUCAGCUUGCCAUGGAUGAAGAAAAUAAUAUUGGAAAAUAUCGUAUCAACUUACAGCCUUUGGAAUCAAAAGUGAAAAUUAUCCAACGAGCAUGGCGUGAGUACCUACAGCGCCAGGACCUGCCACAGCAUGACCAGCUGGACAAGCGCAGUCCGUCGCCACCAUCCCUCUCCUCGGACAAGAUGAGCAGGUCCAUCAGCAUGAACACCUUUUCUGACAGCAGCACACCAGACUCCCGGGAGGAUGGCAUGGAUUUAGGGAGCGACGCCGGCAGCAGCCGCUCCAGCUCGGAGUCCAACUCCAGCAAAGCCACGCCGUGCUCCGAGGGCAAAUCCUCGCCGUCCCCCGGCAGCCUGGACCUGGCGGCGCUGGAGGACUCGGAGGACUCGGAGGAGGACGGGGGGUCCGCGCCCGGCGAUGCCCGCCGCCCCGCCGCCCGCCCGCGGCCGCAGCAGCGCCCGGCGCCCCCGCAGCACCGGCGGCGCGGGGGAGCGGCGGGGCCGGGCGGGCGGCGGGGCGGCGGGGCGCUGCCCCCGCGGGAGCCGCAGCCGCCGGCCAUGGACUGGGCGGCCCUGGAGAGGCACCUGGCGGGGCUGCAGUGCCGGGAGCAGGAGCGCGGACAGCGGGCCAACCCCGCCUCGGCCCAGAAAAAUGAGCGAGAGUCCAUCAGGCAGAAGUUGGCUUUGGGCAGUUUCUUCGACGAUGGCCCGGGACUUUACACCAGCUGCAGCAAGAGCGGCAAGCCAAGCCUCUCCUCCCGAUUACAAAGUGGGAUGAACCUGCAGAUUUGCUUCGUGAAUGACAGCGGCAGUGACAAGGACAGUGAUGCCGAUGACAGCAAGACAGAAACCAGCCUGGACACGCCGUUGUCACCCAUGAGCAAGCAGAGCUCAUCCUAUUCUGACAGAGACACGACGGAGGAAGAGUCGGAGUCCCUCGAUGACAUGGAUUUCCUCACCAGGCAAAAGAAACUCCAAGCUGAAGCGAAAAUGGCCUUGGCUAUGGCAAAGCCCAUGGCUAAAAUGCAAGUUGAGGUGGAAAAGCAGAACAGGAAGAAAUCGCCGGUAGCGGAUCUUCUGCCACAUAUGCCUCAUAUAAGUGAAUGCCUAAUGAAGAGAAGUUUAAAACCCACUGAUCUAAGGGACAUGACUAUUGGGCAGCUACAAGUGAUAGUCAAUGAUCUCCACUCACAGAUAGAAAGCUUGAACGAGGAGCUGGUGCAGCUGCUGCUUAUUCGGGAUGAGCUGCACACAGAGCAGGACGCCAUGCUGGUGGAUAUCGAGGAUCUGACCAGCUGGUUGAGAUUUGAUGAUGCUCUGCCUGGAAAAAGUUUCCGCCAGCUGGGGUGGCCGUAAGGGAUUUGAGGAACAGGUCUCAUGCUGCCCAGGGGAUGGUGGCCCCAGGGACAAGCAGACACGCCGAAAGUCAGCAGAAGCACAUGGCAGAGAAGAUGCCGGCAAAAUGAACCCUGGAGCCUCGGGAGCAGAGCUCGAGCGAGACUUCAUUUUGCUUCUCUGUGUGUCCAAGCGCUGAUGUCCACGGUGGCGCACACAAAAACCAGUGUUAGUCAUUGACCAUGUCUGAAGCUUUAUGUCCGGUGAUUGGCCUCUGCUUCUUAAUUUAUUUUAAUUUUUUUACUCGUGCCACUAAAUAUCAGGCAUUUUAAUAAUAUUAUUACAAAAAAAUGUACAGUACUUAUAACAUUAUAAAUCAUGGGUGAGAAGAGAGGGUAGUUUAACUUUAUUUUUGUUUGUUUAGAGAUUUUCAGUUGAAUGAUAUUUUACCAUUGACUACUUUUUUAUUCUUCACUGUAGUUUUAAAAUAAAGAAACUGUACUUGACGGUGCUAUACAAGUCAAAAAAAAAAAAUACAUGCCUGCCUCGUAGUGAAGUUGUAGCUUUCAGUAAUAUGUAUAUUUUAAUCAGUUUUCAACAUUUUGUGAAUGUUGACUACCUGACAUUCAUUUUUAGAUGUGCUAUUAACAUUUGGUUGAAUUCAGAGAGUUACCUUGAAAGUUUUACGUAUAAAUAUGUAAAAUAAAAAUGAAAAAAUUGUUUCAUAUGAUACGUCUUUCUGUUGCCUAGUGGUUGACUUUGGUGAUGCACCAGUAAUGUAUGCCUCGAACUAAAUGUGCAAUUUCUACUUUGUCAUCACCAGAAAGAGCGUUUUCUUUUUUGCUGAUCACAUGAAAUUAUGGAGAGAAGACAGGAUUUUUGUAGAGUUAUUUAUUUGUAAGUUCUAAGUUCAUAAUGUAUGUAUGACAUGGACUUCAGAGAUUCUUAUAUAAUAACGUUCACUGGGCCCUAAUAUUGUGACUAUUGUUAGAAUCAGCAGGCACAUACUGUAGAUGGUUUUUUUUUUUAUAUUUUAUUGUCUGGGCUAAAUAUUUAAAUGACUCACCAGUGUCAGAAAUAAAAAAAAUAUAUGUUAAAAACCUAAGCAGCAUAUUAUAUGUAUUAUAUAUGGUAAUUACUCACCUCUCUGCCUUUGGGCUGGGCUCCCCGUUAGUAGCUGCGUUCAUCAGCUGAGUGCUGGAUGUGUCCUCCUCUGCGCAUACAGGAGGGGGGACACUGGGAGACUAAUAGCUCUGUCUCUCUCUCAUUUAUUUGAUUUAAUGCUGAAACAGCUUAGCCAUCGCCUUCCUAAGGCUGCCCGGCCGUAGCCAGCAGCAGACACGCAUGUCACGUGCACCAGCUUUUUACAUUUUUAUUCCUUUUUCCUUUUGGGGGCAGAUUCAUCUUAGCGAAGGGUCUGGCUAAUGACUUAUUCAGGGUGUUUUCAGAAAAGCAUGAGCUGCAUUAAAAUUUCAUUCCCCGCCAAGAAUGUAUUUUAUAAAAUGCCUCUUUUCCCCCCUCCCUCUUUUUUCUCAGAAAGCGCAGGUUACGGAAGCGCCAGCCCUCAGUGGGGUUUGGGAGGGGGGAGUUGGUUUAACUUAGGGUUGUUUUUCAUUUCCCAGGAGUUGCUCCGCAGGGUUCUCGGUGGACAGACCGUGUCCCACAGCCCCCGUGCUAGGCAGUGUCCUCAAGCAGAGAGCUGUGCCUGCCCCUGGCUUUUGCAGAAAGGUGGAGGGAUAUAUCAAACGGGCAAGCCCUUGCCUGCAGACCGGGCAUGAUAUAAGCACCUCUUAUUUUGCAUUUUUUUUUAAUCUAUGCAGAAAUAGGUAUAUAUAUAUAUAUAUAUAUAUUGGGGUGUUAUUGUCACUGUAGCUCUUGGUUGGCUUGAUGCUGUUUUUCUGCAUGUGGGGAGACCUGCUGGGUUUUGUAUUUCUGCUUUGUAAAAUAUUUGCAGUGCUCUGAGGCCAAAAUCAUCCCCACAGGGUGCGGAGCUGGUGCCACCAUCAGGAGCAGCUUUUUGGUUAUUGGUAAAGAGGUGCCUGCUGCUGGAUUUAAAGCGUGAACAGCAAAAGCCCCAAAUACUAAAAGUUUUCUCUCAGCUUUAAAAGAGAGAAAGAAAGCAAGAAAGCCCCCGGAUGCUCCCGGGAAAUCCCGUGCCCUCCUUAGCCGCCUCCAGCAUCAUCCCCGGCAUUGCCCCUGCCAGAAUCUUGCCUGUGGGGCACCAGGGUGAGGCAGCCUGGGUAGGCUGGAGUUUCAUUCCCUUGCUAAGUGCCUUUAACUUGCUGAAGAGAACUAGUUAUUCCAGUCAGCUACCACUGGUUUUCCCCCUUACAUCCUUAGGGGGGUUGGGUUUUUUUUUCUAAAAAAAAAAAAUCAUGUUUCUGGGUAACUGCAUCUCCUUGGCUCUGUCUCGUGUACCGAGGUGUCGUACUGGUGUGUAUGAUGGCAAUGCUAUGGAAUUAAUGGAUUAA